rnacentral:lncRNA from 1 species
UUUGAAUCUCGGAGCAGAUAUAUAACAGAUAUAAACAGCCUCUCAGAGAAUAUUAAAUAAUGAGAGUUUGGGAGGUGAUCUCUGCUAUAUUUCAGGCCCUGGGGGCUAGAUGUGAGAUAUUUUUCUUGACCUAGAGAUGUGGGAAUAAACCGAAGUCUAGUCUCCCACCAGUUCACAGGAAGUGGACAUUGUCUCAGAUUUGGUCACUAAUCACUGGAGAAAAUACUUAUUCAAUGUAAGCAGAGUGUCAGCAUUUUGUAUGGGUCACUGGUGAUGUGAGGAUGAAUCUUUAAUACCUCAAAAUACAUGAUCAAAUAACACACAAGGGAAGUCGUUUUGAAUGAAUAAUCUAGUCAAUUGAAAUUGCUCAUGUUUAUAUAACCGGCACUAGAAGUGACUGUUUUUUGAAUUACUUGAAACAAGCCCCUGUGUCAGGUCCCCUGUGUCAGUCCCCUGUGUCAGUCCCCUGUGUCAGGUCCCCUGUGUCAAGUCCCCUGUGUCAGUCCCCUGUGUCAGGUCCCCUGUGUCAGUCCCCUGUGUCAGGUCCCCUGUGUCAGUCCCCUGUGUCAGUCCCCUGUGUCAGGUCCCCUGUGCCAGUCCCCUGUGUCAGGUCCCCUGUGUCAGUCCCCUGUGUCAGUCCCCUGUGCCAUGUCCCCUGUGUCAGUCCCCUGUGUCAGGUCCACAGUGUCAGGUCCUCUGUGUUUGGCUUCAUCCACUGGCUGACAUAGGUUCCCUCUCUCCUUUUCUCCUCUCCUCCUCUCUCCUUUCCUCCUCUCUCCUCUCCUCUUCUCUCCUUUCCUCCUCUCUCCAUUCCUUCUCUCUCCUUUUAUCCUCUCUCCUCUCUGAGAUGGAAAAGAAUAGGCUGGAAGCUGAUCAGGCACCAUGUCUCCUCCUCAGAGAGAAAUAGUCCUCAUCUCAUCCAGACCAUAGAACGUCAGUCUGAGACAUCCAUCCACCAGACCAGAGGAGACAUGGCUUUCCAUCCACCAGACCAGAGGAGACAUGGCCUUCCAUCCACCAGACCAGAGGAGACAUGGCCUUCCAUCCACCAGACCAGAGGAGACAUGGCCUUCCAUCCACCAGACCAGAGGAGACAUGGCCUUCCAUCCACCAGACCAGAGGAGACAUGGCCUUCCAUCCACCAGACCAGAGGAGAUCUGACUCCAAUACACACUGGACAUCUGUUAAGUGGCAUGGCAUCUAAUUGAUCUUUUGGAGGGUGACCGGUUUUGAAAGGGGUGAGGGCUAGGGGGGUGCGGGUGUUGCUUGUCCCCUCUUGAGGAUUGUGGGGGAUUUGCAGUGAGUAAGUGAUCAGAGUACAGGACAGGUGGUGAACGUAGGCUUUGGAAACAGCUGUAUAAUCACAGGCUGAACACAGAGACAGAGGAUAGUAAUAAUAGGUACUAUAAGGAAGUGAAGCCACUCAACCGUGCUAUUGAACAGGUCUUGUCCUUCUACCUUACACACACACACACACACACACACACACACACACACACACACACACACACACACACACACACACACACACACACACACACACACACACACACACACACACACACACACACACAGUGGCCAUUCACCACUCCCAUGAAUACAGCUGCUUGACCUCCACUUAAAGGGUCAACAAUUGCUUUUAUCUGAGGUGAUCUGAGGGGUGACUUCCAGGCUUAUUCCCUGCAUGCAUGAGCCUUAUUCAUUGAUAUUUUCCACUGACUAUGGCUACACAGUGCUCAGGCCUUCACAGGAACCUCCAGGGAGAUGUAUGGGGUGAGAUGUCUGAGAAGAGGUUUCAGGACCCGCUCUACAGACCUUGUUUUGAGCCCGCCUGGGUGUUUGCAAAUCAUUAUGGUCGAGCCUCAAUGCAAUGCAUCCAGUCAGCUGGUGAAAAGAUAGCUAUCCACUUUGAGGGCUCUAGUACUGAAAUAUAAAGGAUCUAGUACUGAAAUAUAAAGGCUCUAGUACUGAACUAUAAAGGCUCUCGUACUGAAACAUAAAGGCUCUAGUACUGAAACAUGAAGGCUCUAGUACUGAAACAUAAAAGCUCUAGUACUUAAAUAUAAAGGCUCUCGUACUGAAAUAUAAAGGCUCUAGUAGUAUUGAAAUAUAAAGGCUGUAGUAGUAUUGAAAUAUAAAGGCUCUAGUAGUAUUGAAA